rnacentral:rRNA from 1 species
AAUCAACGCUGGCGGCGUGCCUAACACAUGCAAGUCGAACGCGAGAGGGGCUUCGGCCCGAUUGAGUGGCGAACGGGUGAGUAACGCGUGGGUGACCUACCUUCGAGUGGGGGAUAACGUCCCGAAAGGGACGCUAAUACCGCAUAACAUCCUGCUUUUGAAUGGGUGGAGAUCAAAGCCGGGGAUCGCAAGACCUGGCGCUUGAUGAGGGGCCCGCGUCUGAUUAGCUAGUUGGGAGGUAACGGCCCACCAAGGCAACGAUCAGUAUCCGGCCUGAGAGGGCGGACGGACACACUGGGACUGAGACACGGCCCAGACUCCUACGGGAGCAGCAGUGGGGAAUUGUUCGCAAUGGGCGCAAGCCUGACGACGCAACGCCGCGUGGAGGAUGAAGUC